UACAGAGGGUGCAAGCGUUGUUCGGAAUUAUUGGGCGUAAAGCGCGUGUAGGCGGCUUUGCAAGUCGGGUGUGAAAGCCCUCGGCUCAACCGAGGAAGUGCGCCCGAAACUGCAGAGCUUGAGUACCGGAGAGGAUGGCGGAAUUCCCCAAGUAGAGGUGAAAUUCGUAGAUAUGGGGAGGAACACCGGUGGCGAAGGCGGCGUUCUGGACUGCAACUGACACUGAUGAACGAAAGCCAGGGGAGCAAACGGG
rnacentral:rRNA from 1 species